rnacentral:rRNA from 1 species
AUUGAACGCUGGCGGCAUGCCUUACACAUGCAAGUCGAACGGCAGCACGGGAGCAAUCCUGGUGGCGAGUGGCGAACGGGUGAGUAAUAUAUCGGAACGUGCCCAGUCGUGGGGGAUAACGUAGCGAAAGCUACGCUAAUACCGCAUACGAUCUAUGGAUGAAAGCGGGGGAUCGCAAGACCUCGCGCGAUUGGAGCGGCCGAUAUCAGAUUAGGUAGUUGGUGAGGUAAAGGCUCACCAAGCCGACGAUCUGUAGCUGGUCUGCGAGGACGGCCAGCCACACUGGGACUGAAACACGGCCCAGACUCCUACGGGAGGCAGCAGUGGGGAAUUUUGGACAAUGGGCGCAAGCCUGAUCCAGCAAUGCCGCGUGCAGGAUGAAGGCCUUCGGGUUGUAAACUGCUUUUGUACGGAGCGAAAAGGCUUCCACUAAUACUGGGGGCUCAUGACGGUACCGUAAGAAUAAGCACCGGCUAACUACGUGCCAGCAGCCGCGGUAACAC